rnacentral:rRNA from 1 species
UACGAAGGGGGCUAGCGUUGUUCGGAAUUACUGGGCGUAAAGCGCGUGUAGGCGGGUCUUUUAAGUCAGGGGUGAAAUGCCAGGGCUCAACCUUGGAACUGCCUUUGAUACUGGAGACCUUGAGUCCGGGAGAGGUGGAGUGGAAUUCCUGGUGUAGCGGUGAAAUGCGCAGAUAUCAGGAAGAACACCCGUGGCUAAGGCGGCUCUCUAGUACGGUACUGACGCUGAGACGCGAAAGCGUGGGGAGCGAACAGG